rnacentral:rRNA from 1 species
GACGAACGCUGGCGGCGUGCCUAAUACAUGCAAGUAGAACGCACAGUUUAUACCGUAGCUUGCUACACCAUAGACUGCGAGUUGCGAACGGGUGAGUAACGCGUAGGUAACCUGCCUGGUAGCGGGGGAUAACUAUUGGAAACGAUAGCUAAUACCGCAUAAUAUUAAUUAUUGCAUGAUAAUUGAUUGAAAGAUGCAACUGCAUCACUACCAGAUGGACCUGCGUUGUAUUAGCUAGUAGGUGAGGUAACGGCUCACCUAGGCGACGAUACAUAGCCGACCUGAGAGGGUGAUCGGCCACACUGGGACUGAGACACGGCCCAGACUCCUACGGGAGGCAGCAGUAGGGAAUCUUCGGCAAUGGACGAAAGUCUGACCGAGCAACGCCGCGUGAGUGAAGAAGGUUUUCGGAUCGUAAAGCUCUGUUGUAAGAGAAGAACGGGUGUGAGAGUGGAAAGUUCACACUGUGACGGUAUCUUACCAGAAAGGGACGGCUAACUACGUG